AAGUAUGGAGUUGGAAUUUCAAGGGUAACAAUAACCAUCUUUUCUUUGGCAUUAGGGAACAAAUGAUCCAGUAAUCAUUUUUCUUUGACAAAGGUGCUAAAUAAGAAAAUUUUAAGCAUUCUAUGUUAAUAUGCCACUUUUCAGUUAGAUGGAUUUGGAUUCUUUAGAAUUCAAUUGAGUUGUGUUUUCUAUUUCACCUUAACACAACUUAGGUCCAGUUUGGCAUUACUGUUGAGAAAAUCACCUUUUUAAAUAUACUAGUUAGAGAGUGUUAAAAAAUAAUUAAAAAUUAAAUUUGAUC
rnacentral:misc_RNA from 1 species